GUCUGGAUCAAAGAGGAGGACUGUGGAUAUUUAAAGUGAUAGAGGUUAGAGGAAACGUGAGCUGGGCUUCUGAGUAACUCCCAAAGGGGCCCAUAGGGAUGAGAACAAGCUUGCCAUUUACUCCAGUCUCCUAGAGACAAGCCAUCCUGACCUAACACAACACCUGUUGAGACAUCCUUGAAUGCUUUGGAAUAUGCAGGAGCCACCGGCCAGUCUGAUAUUGACAAGUGGUGGAACGGAUGGCUCGCCAAGACCCAUUACUCACCCGCCUUCCAAAGAUAAAGGGACUCGGCCACGUCCAAGCAAACUCUCCCUCUCCGUGUGUGGCAGUCCAUCGUCAGCUGUCAGCCUCGAUGGUCUUUGCCUAUCAAUGCGUCUGUGGGGCUAGAGGUCCGAUAACGCUGCAAAGAGCCAUCAAACCAAGCGAGUGGCAGCAUGAGAAUAAACUACAGCCCGUUACUCCCACUUGGAGGUAAAAAAAGAGAGAGAGAUUAAACCAAGCCAAUCUCUGACAGAUGUUCCUCCAAAAUGUUAUUGAAAAGCUCUCCACAGUGUGGCUUCCACAGCCUCCCCCUCAGCAGCUCAACUGUACAGGCCACCUGCAUGU
rnacentral:lncRNA from 1 species